AGUGAACGCUGGCGGUAGGCCUAACACAUGCAAGUCGCACGGCAGCACAGUAAGUGCUUGCUCUUACGGGUGGCGAGUGGCGGACGGGUGAGGAAUACAUCGGAAUCUACUUUUUCGUGGGGGAUAACGUCGGGAAACUUACGCUAAUACCGCAUACGACCUACGGGUGAAAGCCGGGGAUCUUCGGACCUUGCGCGAUUGAAUGAGACGAUGUCGGAUUAGCUAGUUGGCGGGGUAAAGGCCCACCAAGGCGACGAGCGGUAGGGGGUCUGCGAGGAUGGUAGCGAGAAGGGGAACGGAGACACGGUCAAGACGACUGCCGGAGGCAGCAGUGAGGAAGAGUGGUCAAGGGGCGUAAGCAUGACUGAGCAAAGUAGCGAGAAGGAUGACGGCACUAUGGGUUGUAAACUGCUUUUAGGAGGGGAUAAAGUGGCCCACGGGUGGGCUUUUGAAGGUAGAGAAUGAAUAAGGACGGGCUAAUUCAGUG
rnacentral:rRNA from 1 species